rnacentral:lncRNA from 1 species
CUCAUUUUACAGAUGAGGAAAUUGAAGCCCAAAGACUUAGUUAAAAGACUUACUCAAGGUUCUAGGGCAAGACAGAGACAGUAUUGGACUCUUUGCAAUACAUCGCCCUUUUCACUAAAACACUCAUGCUGGUUGACUGGGUGCUCCUCCAGUCAUUUCCACUACUGCCACUGUGCUGUUCCAGCAUCAUCAGUUCCAGGCAGAAGUGCCAGGAAAUGUGGGACUGUCAACAAUGGGCAUAAAUGUUCAACGCACAAAUUUAGAGAGAACAGAGAAGCAAACAAGAAGAGAGUGAAAGUCGACUUUGGACGGCUCCUCAGAGGACUGCUGUCGAGACCGAAUGCCCUAUUGAUUUCAGUUGACAGCGUUUGCCUAUCCUUUUUCUUUUUUUAAACAUCACGAACAAGAUUUUUUAUGUCACCAUUAAAAGUCUGAAUUUUAAGCAAAUUCUUGGAUAGUUGGCUCAUAUCCAGAAACACCUGUCUCAUCUUCAGUGGCUUUUCCAGAACCAUUACCUUCGCCAUGAAACUCCAUGAGUUUUCCCAAUUCAAACUUAGGCUUCUGCAGCAUUUUACUUUUCCAACAAGUACAUCAUGGCGCGGGAUAAAUAGAUUGGUAAGCCUUUUCUAUGUCUUUACCAAUGCUUUCUGAAUGAAUUUAUUGAUCACGUCUUUCAAGCCGUUCACAUCUCUGGGGUCAUGAUUUCCACCAUCUUCUUCCGGAUUUGAUGGACUUGUUUGUACUGAGUGUAAGAGGGUCUUCUGAAUCUGGUUAUUGAGUUUUUUCAGUAACACUAAUACAGAAUAGAUGAAGCAAAUGAUCAUCGUUAGUCUUGACGUCAACAUGAGCUUCAAUCAUGGUUUCCCGUGUUUUGACCCUGGAGCACAUUAUGUCAAAAGGUAAGAUCCAGCCAUAGAGGUUAGUCAGGUAGUUUUUGCCCUGAACACCCUCUGUAAUC